GGAGCGCCUAGUGAGCGGAAGCCCUUCCUGUUGCACAGGUUGAGCAAGAGGCUUGCCCCAUUCCAGGGCAGGGAGGGACCUGUUGCCCUGAAUGGGGUGGGGAGAAGGAGAAGGCAAUUUGACCCAGGGCGGGAGGCUCUGUGACCCACUGGGGCAGGGACCCUGCCCAAGAAAUGCCCUCUCUCCUCACUUACCCAAGGCCUCCAUCUCGAAGCACAGCCUGGGAGCAGGGGCAGCGUAACAGGGCGUAUGAACCCGGCCUCAUCUCCCCAGGGGAGGUCAAGGUCAAGAGAGAUGCCGAAGCUUAAGAAGGCUGUGAUGGGGUGACAGCUUUGACCAUGUGGUUUGUGGUCAUGGGGAUGGAGGAACAAUGAGACAGAAGAAACUUGGUGUCCUGGUCAACUCAUGGCGCAGAGUUGAGCUGCCUUUUGCCCUGGACCCACGGCCUACUCUGAAUUGUUACGUGAGAGAAAAAGAAUUCUGCCAUGUUUGGGUCAUUUUACUUGGGGAUUUUUGUUACAGCAGCUUAAUCUAUAUCUGACUAAUACAGAGACUGAAGGUGGGAUGCGGGUUUACCAUAAAAGUCUACAACAUGUGGCCUUGGCCUAUCAAUUAGGUAACGUAGAAGAAAAUACAGACACGGCAGGUGGAAAGCUGAGGGCCCCUGCCACUCCAUCAGAUUGGUGAAGGCCCACCCUGCAAUAACCCGGAAGGCAGACCACGUCACCGAUCAUUAGGAUUUUUCUACCUGGCAAUGGCAAUGGGAGUCAGCUCUGUGGCAAAGUUCUGAUUAAGAAUGUCAUCUUCCCACCCAGCCUUUUGUUUCUGGUACCUCAAGGUAGCUAGUGUUUAAAUGAGGCAGCAGGGCUGGGCUGGGCAGGAAAGCCAGUUAGUGAAAAAGGAGAGUUGGUAGCUUGAGAACCGUGUCCAGCAAGGAUCUCUGGGUGUGGCACUCCUGUCUGAAAGGGAUUGGAAGCAAAGAGACCGGAAAGUUUCCAAGUUUAUGGUAUUUUGGAGAGCCAAAGAAGCCAAAAGUCUGGCCUGCAAAAUCCUGUGAUUUUUCCAUCCCUAAAUAAAGCUCUAGACCCCCAUAACUCCACCAACGGAAGUGAGCUGAGAGAGCUGUAUAGCCCCAAAGAGGGCGUUCUCUCCAACCCCCACUCAGAUGUGGGCCUGAGGAUGAUAAUGGUCAAGGAAGAAGCUCCCAGAGGGCCAAGCCAGGGGCCUCAGCGGACAGUGGACAAGGAGGUUACCCCCAGAGCAGAAAAGAGAGGCAGAGUGUCCGCCAGAGCAGGGAGUCUGCAGCCUUCUUGCCCGGCGAGGGUGAUAACUGCGUGGACGAGUGGUCGCCGUGUGCUCUCUGUUCUCCCCUUUUCCUAACAGGUGAUUUGAUGACUGUUAUCCCUUCCGGCUUCAUGUCGUGUAUUGCAGGAGUGGGUGUGAAGUGGCGGGCAGACGAUUACUUUUUAGUGUUCUGGCCACUAAAACAGCAGGGCCACAUCUGGACCCAAGGAAGGGGACUGUGCACCACCAUGAGAUCCUACUCUUGGAGCUGGAGCAGUGACUGGGUGGGACUUUGGGUGGCCUCCCUUGAGGGGGUGGGAAGUGGGUCCUAUGUGUGGGAAGAAGGAUGUGCACAGAUAUUUACAGGCCACAGGGGGCCUGUGGCAAAGACCAUUCCCAGUGUUCCCUCUCCCAACAGAAUCCACUGCACUUUGGCUGGGCACAUGGCUACCCAGCUGGAGAUACAGUUCCCAGCCUCCCUGGAGGCGUGUAGUCCCGCAGUUUUGGCCAAUGGGAUGUGGACAGAAGUGAUGGGUGCAACUUCUACAUGACAUCUUUCUGGGGACGUGGCUUGCCCCCCGCUUCAUCUUUCCCUUUCCCAGAGGCUGGAACAUGGAUGUGAUGACGUGUGCCAGUUUUGAACAGGGGGAUGAGGACACCACUCUGUGGAUGGCAGGACAUCAAGACAGAAGGAAGCUGAUCUCCUGAACCACCUUGCAGAGCUGAGGGGAGCAGAAGAGUCCGCAUGCCCAGACUCCAGCCCUGCCCUGCUCUGUUAGAGGAGAGACCCGAGUGAGCAGGGGUCUUGUUCGAGUCGCGGCAUUUGCGUUUGUUUCCUCAACUUAGUCUGUUCCUCACCUGUUACACACCCUUUUUCUAAGUCUGAGCUUUCAUUGCGAUUAUGCAGUAUUUUGUUCCUCCUGUAUUUAUCAAAUUUGGAAAGUGUUUGGUCAUUCUCUACUCAUAUAUUUUUGUCCCCUAUUUUUCUGCUCCUUCCUUAUUCACAUCGACGUGUGAGGAGGAGGGGUUAAAUUAAUCACAAAUUAAUCCUUUAACCCCCUACCCAUUGUCACGGUUCUCAGGAUCACGGGCACUCCUGUCCCACUGAUGGAGGAGAAUGGAUGUCCCUGGACAGCUGGGUACCUUCGCUGCAAGUCUCCUGCUGGGGUACCGGGGGGUGUUCACUAACAGGCUGUGUGGGGUUAGGUGGGGACAGAUUUGGAAUUACACUUUUGGGAAGAAGGGCGGGUGUGUAUCCUGGGCACCAAAGAGCAGACUAUACUGAGCAUUUAUUGUUUUGAUAAUUUAGCACUUUUUCCUCCUUUUUUUUCCUGGGGAAUGAGUCUUACCUCAUUCCUCAGUGCAUAGUUCAAGUGGGAGUGGCCACCCUUUCUCACAUGACCUUCUUAUUGGUCUAAGGAUGAGCACCUGACCCACGCUGGGUCAAUCAGAGUUCUUCUCCACGCAGGAAAUACAGUUCCUCUGUGAGACUAAGAGUGUGGACCUGGGUCCUGCUGGUGGCCUAGUUUCCAUUCGUUAUGGAGGAGAUCAUUAGGAGACAAUGAAAUGGACAUUCAGAAGAACGGAUGAGAGAUGAGAUGAGAGAUGGCCAGAAAAGUCCGGCCUGGUGCCAGUUGUCCCUGAGGCCCAGCCACACUCCAGCUCUUCCUAUAGUUAGUUAUAUGAACCAAUACACUCUGCUUUUGUCUAAAAUAGUUCACUUGCAUUUCUAUCACUUGCAACCAUAAAGAAAUCUGUCAAUACAGUUGGGAUGCAGGACAGGGAGUGAUCAAGGAGUGGUUAACUUUUAUUGCCCACCUGCUUUGGCCAAGCAUUUGUCCAUAUCCACAUGUGAGUUACAGUGGCCAGGACAGCUGGCCCCUUAUUGCUCAGCCUCUCUGCUGGGUCAAUGAAAGUUAAGUGAAUAAAUGAAUACAUCUCUCUUGCUCCCCAGCUAGACUCCCCGGACAGGUUCCUGAUGGCCACCUGAAAAGACUUCCUUUAAACCCAUCCUUGCCUGCCCGUCCACAUCUGCCCUUCCCACCUUUGCUGACUUUGACCUCACUGCAUUUGACUUCUGCCUCUCCCAGAUUUUUAUUUAAUUAAAUUAAAUUAAUAAUU